rnacentral:rRNA from 1 species
CGCGUAGGCGGGCAAGCAAGUCAGGGGUGAAAUCCCACGGCUCAACCGUGGAAGUGCCUUUGAUACUGCUUGUCUGGAGGGAGAUAGGGCGUGCGGAACUUCCGGUGGAGCGGUGAAAUGCGUAGAUAUCGGAAGGAACACCGGUGGCGAAAGCGGCGCGCUGGAUCUCUACUGACGCUGAGGCGCGAAAGCCAGGGAGCAAACG